GACCAUGUCUCAUAGCAUGCUUCUUGACAAACCUGAAAGCUACCUUUAUAACUACCAUGUUACCAUGUCUCCACAUGUGCCCACAUUAUUAGUUUAACAUCUCCAUAUCCAUGACUUGUGAAACAUACUCAUCAACUAAUACAUGUGCUAGUCUAAUAUUCAUGUGUGUCCUCACAUGAACUCUGACUAGGGACAACUUUAGAAUAACCAUACAAGUAAAGAGUUUCACAUACAAUUCACAUAAUUGCAAAUCAAUUCAAGUAGCCUUUAAUGGAUAUUCAAGGAACACAAUAUAAAUCAUGGAUACAAAUGGAAUAUCAUCAUCUCUAUGAUUGACUCUAGGGCAUACCUCCAACAGUCUCC
rnacentral:lncRNA from 1 species